rnacentral:rRNA from 1 species
AGAGUUUGAUCCUGGCUCAGAAUCAACGCUGGCGGCGUGCCUAACACAUGCAAGUCGAACGAGAAAGUGGAGCAAUCCAUGAGUAAAGUGGCGACCGGGUGAGUAACACGUGACUAACCUACCUUCGAGUGGGGGACAACCUCGGGAAACCGGGGCUAAUACCGCAUAAAAUCUUUGGGAAGAGAUGCCCGAAGAUCAAAGGAGCAAUUCGCUUGAAGAGGGGGUCGCGGCUGAUUAGCUAGUUGGUAGGGUAAUGGCCUACCAAGGCUUUGAUCGGUAGCCGGCCUGAGAGGGCGCACGGCACACUGGAACUGAAACACGGUCCAGACUCCUACGGGAGGCAGCAGUGGGGAAUUUUGCGCAAUGGGGGAAACCCUGACGCAGCAACGCCGCGUGGAGGAUGAAGUCCCUUGGGACGUAAACUCCUUUCGACCGGGAAGAUUAUGACGGUACCGGUGGAAGAAGCCCCGGCUAACUUCGUGCCAGCAGCCGCGGUAAUACGAGGGGGGCAAGCGUUGUCGGAAUUAUUGGGCGUAAAGGGCGCGUAGCGG